rnacentral:rRNA from 1 species
CGGUGUUUAACUGGCGUGAUGUGGGACGUCCUACCGGUGGGCUUAGCCUCGCGAGGGGCGGCCCAACUAAUAUCCCGUCGCGGUGCUCUUUACUGAGUGUCGAGUCGGGCCGGUACGUUUACUUUGAACAAAUUAGAGUGCUUAAAGCAGGCUAUCCUCGCCUGAAUACUGCGUGCAUGGAAUAAUGGAAUAGGACCUCGGUUCUAUUUUGUUGGUUUUCGGAACCCCGAGGUAAUGAUUAAUAGGGACAGAUGGGGGCAUUCGUAUUGCGACGUUAGAGGUGAAAUUCUUGGAUCGUCGCAAGACGGACAGAAGCGAAAGCAUUUGCCAAAAAUGUUUUCAUUAAUCAAGAACGAAAGUUAGAGGUUCGAAGGCGAUCAGAUACCGCCCUAGUUCUAACCAUAAACGAUGCCAGCUAGCGAUCCGCCGAAGUUCCUCCGAUGACUCGGCGGGCAGCUUCCGGGAACCCAAAGCUUUUGGGUUCCGGGGGAAGUAUGGUUGCAAAGCUGAAACUUAAAGGAAUUGACGGAAGGGCACCACCAGGAGUGGAGCCUGCGGCUUAAUUUGACUCAACACGGGAAACCUCACCAGGCCCAGACACCGGAAGGAUUGACAGAUUGAUAGCUCUUUCUUGAUUCGGUGGGUGGUGGUGCAUGGCCGUUCUUAGUUGGUGGAGCGAUUUGUCUGGUUAAUUCCGAUAACGAACGAGACUCUAGCCUGCUAAAUAGGCGUACCUUAUGGUAUCGCGAAGGCCCCCGGCUUCGGCCGGUGGGUUUUUACUACCAACGUACAAACAAAUCUUCUUAGAGGGACAGGCGG